AUGUGAUCCUCACCGGGCCAAACAUGUCGCCUCCUGUGGACCAAACAUCACCCAUGAAACAUCAGAACGUUCACCUGAUGGCAGCAGGGGUUUUUGCUCAGCUACAGGAUGGAUCCCUCCGACGCUGUGGGAGGGGCUUCGAAGGAGGCGGGGCCCUCCUCCUUGGUUACCGGAGCGACGGUGACUGGGCUGGUGGGGGUCGCUGAGGAUGAGACGGGUACCGUUGUAAUGGGGGCGGAGCCUGGGGAGGCCGGGGUGAAGGAGGGGGGCAGCAGCCUGAAGCCGGGACUCUUCGGAGAGUGAGCCGAGGGGGAGAGGACGAGGUUGGCCUGCACAGACAGUGAUGUCACAGUGAUGUCACAGUGAUGUCACAGUGAUGUCACAGUGAUGUCACACCAACAGAGGGCAGCCGGACUCACCUGGAGCUUCUCUAUUAGAGCAGAGUUCCUCUUGGCUUUGGCAGCAGCGUUCUGUGGAGGAGCCGAGCCUUUAAAUCUUCCUGCCAGUUCAGCCACAGAGAGAUGGGACGGAGCCUCCUCCUGAGAAAAGAAACAAACCAACAAGACUGUGGAAAGGUAACUGUCAGUGAUGUGCUACUGAAUCACAAGAAAGCCGCUAAGAGACACAAAACAAUCACAACAGCAUGAAAAUAACCACAAAGAGAUACAAAACGGACACAAAGAGACACAAAACAACUGUAAAGACUACUAAUGAAUACUAACAGACACAAAAACGGCCACAAAGACACGCAAAAUUACCAUAAAAAGACACAAAACAAUCACAAGGAGACACAUACCAACCAUAAAGACACAAAAUGACCACAAAGAAACACUGGAUAACCGUACAACAAAACAAAAACGGCCAUUAAGAUAGACAAACCAACCAUAAAGACACAAAAUGGCCACAAAGAAACACUGGAUAACCGUACAACAAAACAAAAACGGCCAUUAAGAUAGACAAACCAACCAUAAAGACACAAAAUGGCCACAAAGAGGGAUAGAAUGUCCAUACAACAAGACACAAAUGACCAUUAAGAUAGACAGAACAACUAAAAAGAGACAAAACAACCACAAAUGGACACAAAACAACUUUAAAGAGACAUAAAACAACCACAGAGAGACACAAACUGCAACACCAACAAGUUUUUUGUCUGUCUGGACCAGUGGAUUUAUUAGUGUUAGGGUUCAGCCAACAGGUGGUAUCGGUUUGCGGCUGAAAGUCAAACCUCACAUCAGCUGGGUGGAAUCAUUGCAACAUUCAACAGAUUUCAGUGGUAAAUUACUGAUAUUACUUCCACUACUAAUACCAACACUACCCUUCUGCUGUAAUGCCACCAUCUGUCCCCCACCAGCUUUCCAAACUGCCCGUCCAACACCGAUAGUCCAACACAUGAGGACGUACAGGACCCGACAGCUGAAGCCUCUGAAGCUCUGCUGACCCAAAAUGUCCUCAGAAGGUCUACAAAGCACCCUGGUCCUCACAGAGAUAGACGUCCAUCCACACACACACACACACACACACACACACACACAGCUGUUGACGUGGGGUUGAUCCAGCUGAAGGCCUCGCAUCGCUGACAUUCAAAAGAUAAUGAAAUCACACAGUCAGUCUUUCCACAGCCGACCCGCAAACUGAAGGUAGAAAGUGAUGAAGAAACAACCGUUAAACCACUUCCACUUUUUCAAUGUGUGUGUGUACAGAUGCCUCUGUGGGGACCAGUGUGAGAUCUUGAGUCCUCACUUUGACCCUGGGUGUGUUCAACAUUCUGUAUAGUCUGCCAGACAAAGAUUUAGCGUGUCCCCGGACGUAAUGUGUCAAAUGCCAAAAAUAUCAGGAUGUCCGACUACGUCCAGUCUGCAGUUUACCGACCAGCAGACCUUGAAUAGAAGAUCCGUCACAGACUCCAAAAGACAUGUUUAACUGCAGCUAGUAAAGUCACAAAAUGCACUGACAAAUCUGGCAAAGAUACAGAAAUCUUUAACCAAUCUCUACAUUUGUCCAAAAUGAUUAGAAGUUUGUCUAGAACUUGCUAAAAAAAAAAAAUCCUCUUUUCCUGUUCACAAUCUGUCCAAAAUGAGUUAAACAUAUAGGAUGGCUUAGAAGGGUUCCAAAAAUGACAAAGCAAUGAAAACGCAUCCAAAAUGACUCACAUUUCACCUCAUAAAAUAAGUGUUCUCUAAAUGUUGUCAAAAUUGGUCAAAAAUGACCCAAAAUUUGUGCAAAAUUACUAAAAAUUCCACAAAUUAGUCCAGAACUUUCUCAAAAAAAAUCUUCCCUAACUGUUCAAAACCUGUCAGAAAUGAGUUAAUUCUCUUGGAUGGCUGGGAAGAGCUAAAAAAAAAUCACAAAUGGGUCCAAAAUGACUUUAAAAUGUCUUCAAACUAUUAAAAUUUUCUUUAAAACAUAGGAAUUAUUCAUAGUUACAGUUUUAUCAAUAUUGGUGGUCCUCAGCGGAGGGUCUGUAGUGGGAUCACAAACGUGAUCGUCAGCAGCCAGCUGACGUUUUGCUCGCUUGUUGUCAUGGUUAGUGACACCGUACAGAAAUCUUUAACAAAUCCGUGGAUCCAGACUUUAAGCCACAUGACUGCCAAAAUCUAAUCAUUUGGUCCUUGUGUCAUUUCUGACCUUCCCUGAAAGUUUCAUCCAAAUCCGUUAGUUUGUUUUUGAGUAAAGUUGCUAACGGAUGGAAGAUUCACAAAUGCCGAUCAUCACAUAACUUCACCAUGUUCCUUGGCAGAGCAAUCAUUUCUAAGCAAACAGGCCAAAGCUGUAAAAGUCCCUAUCAAAAUCUAUUUUUCCAUCAUCAUGGUUUAUCUGAUUAAAAAUUUUAACACAAUUCACACAUCUGCAGCACAGAAUGACUAAAAAUCCCUGAAACCUCUAUGGCAACACAUUUCAGGCAGUUUAUCCAAGUAGACUUACGUCACACAAAUGGGCAGUUGAUCCGGUAAUGGCAGAACCAACCAACUCUAAAUGGAAGACGGUAAACAGUAGGGCCCGAUUGAUUUAUCGGCCAGCUGAUUAAAUCAGUUGUUUAUAGCUCUUUUCAAAAUAAUUGUCAUCGCUGGAGUUAACCCAAUUAAACACUGAUAUGUUCUUAAUUUGUGCACUUUGUAAUGUCCUUUUAUUGUGAUGUAUUGAUCUUUUAUUGAUGUAUUAACCUUUUGUUGUGACCUGCUGGCCUUUUAUUGUGACCUAUUGUCUUUUUAAUAUGACCUAUUGUCUUAUGUUUUAUUUUGUUUCACAGUUAUGUUUUCUUUGUGUACUUUUUGGAGUGUGCUUUUGUGAUUUAUUGUCUUUCUGUAUCACCGUCUUUUUUUUUCUUUUUACCUAGCAUGUAAAUUAGCAUUGUUGCUAUAAUCUGACAUAUUUAUACCCAUUGCUGUAUAAAUGGAUAAAGAAAUAAAUAAAAUACAUUUUUCUCAAGGAAUAGCAUGUAAUGUCAGUUAUUUAUUGUUCUUUGCCUAAUAUUUGUUCGUUGAAUAUGGUGGUGCGUACAUAUUUUUGCAUAAUUUAAUGUUUGCAAGUCAAAUUAUGUGUUUUUUUUUUUUAAAAGCCCAAUAGUUUAUAUUACAUUUUCAGAGAUUAUAUAAGAUUGUCAAGAUGGUUCAAAUAUAGAAAUAAUUCUGUUCUAUUAAUGAUAUUUUUAACCGUUUAAAGUUCUACUUCCUGUUUACCGUCUGUAACCUCACGGACAGGAAGCGACCUUGUGGAGUAGAAUGCGGGAAGAGACAAAUUGGCGGACAGCCGGGUGUAAUUGUUGGAAAGCAAUGGACUUUAAUGUUUUUACAUCUUAUCGGAAUCAGUUUUUGUUGUUGUUGAGGACUGCUUAAGAACUGUUCGGUCUCGCUGCCACUGAGUGUUGUCUUCGGUUCCAGAGGAGUGUUUUGUUACUGUGCGGAGUGAGCUAGCCACGUUAGCUUAGCUCACCGGAGCUGCGUGGAGGGAUGACCUUUUGGAUCUUCAACAACGCAAUGAGAGCGGAGGGCUGCAGGACCGACACAGAGGCUGCCGAGGACGGUCUGCUGUCUGCAGGAGUGGUUGUUGUGCCUACGGAGGGAGACCAGUCUGCGGACAGGAAGUCUACAGGUGUGGUAUGAGUUACUGUAAACUAUAAAGCAUUCUAUUCGUCAAUGAGCUCCAACGAACCUUAAACUAUGCUGAAUACUGGAAGCUAAAGAGAGAGGGCACUCAGGUUAAGACAGAAUAAAUAUUGAUUAAUCCCGGGUCUAUUUUAUUUUUAUGUGUUUAUUAUUUUUCAUUGAACCGGUUUGUUUGUGCCUUGUUGCUUAAUACAAAGUGGGAUUUUCUUCUUUGAGUCUGUAAUAUUUCUGUUUUCUGCUGUGCAUGCUCAUUGGGUUGUGUGUUCAUAUUGUUAUUCUAUGGUAUAUCCUGGUAAUUUCAAAAUUCAGUAUAUUUUUUAAUAAGUGAAGCUCAUAUGUUCCCUUAAGGCCUCUGCACGCUGCGAUUUUCGGCUGUCCCAGAGGACAGAUAACAAUUGUGGUGAUCUCUGGUCUUGACUCUAAAUCGGUGGUCCUACAUCACACUGUGAGACAGGUUCAAGGAUGGCCGUUGUCAUGGUGAUCAAAGACAAGUUGCCAUAAAAUUCUGACUAUCAGAAGUUCUGGGUGAUCGUCUCACAGUGUGACUGUUGCUAGACCUUCUACAACUAACCAACCGUAGAAAUGCAAGAUGAAAUGACGUACUGAUCAGUGCUACAAUGGAGCUAAAACCCAAAUAGAUGAUUUGCAGAGACAAAACAAGUAUGUGGGAUUUAAACAGAGAAGACAGCCUAGUAGAGUUGUGGCAGCAGAAGUCUUUUGCACGUGUCCUCCACCUUGUUAAACCAGAGCAUGGAAGGAUAUAGCGGCAGAAUUAUAGCUUCCAGGUUAGCGGCUAGCAAACGCACACAGACACCACUGUAAAUGGUGUAAAUGGCAGAAAAAACAAAACUUUAAUUCAGUAAUGUUUGGCUCAUUUCCCUGUGAUUGUAGGAGCUACAUUUAUGCAUCGGUUGUUUUUUCAUUGAUGGAUGGAGCAUGCUUAUUGCGCUUUCACGUCUCUUUAACGUGAAUGUUUAUGAUUGCAUCGUCAUGUGAAAAGAAAUCAAACAGCCACUGUUUACUCCUCUGACUGUUUUUUUUUUUUAUCCAAACGUGCUCAUGUGAAGUGAGCAGCAGCAGUAGAAAGAAGAACAAAAAAAUACUUUUGUCCAACUGAAAUAGAUGUGAUAGUUGUCUACAUAGAAAUCAAUAUUGAAAUUUGGUUUUCAUCACACUAAGGCAAUUAAUAAAAGGAGAAAAACAGUAGGCUGAAGAUUGAGCCCUGGGGGACGCCAUGAGUGGUUAGUUGAGCUGCAUUCAUCCAAAAAUAAGAAUGAAACCGAUGUAAAAUCAAACCUGAGAGUCGUAGUAAAAUCUAAAAAUGACAAAACAAAUGUUUGAACUAUUUCUCCCAAUACGUCAGCCAGGAAGGGAAGAUAAGAUAUUGGACAGAUGGUAAUUUCUCUGAGAACUGUAGCUGAUUUCAAAUAUUCGGGAACUUAAAUGUUUAGCGUAUGUGAUCUAUGUACAAACGGAGCCAUAAUUCACGGACUAAACGAGCUGACGACACCACAAACUCCACAAUGACAGCGUCGAUGAAAUCUGAUGCAUAC